rnacentral:rRNA from 1 species
UACGGGGGGGGCAAGCGUUGUUCGGAAUUACUGGGCGUAAAGGGCUCGUAGGCGGCCAACUAAGUCAGACGUGAAAUCCCUCGGCUUAACCGGGGAACUGCGUCUGAUACUGGAUGGCUUGAGUCCGGGAGAGGGAUGCGGAAUUCCAGGUGUAGCGGUGAAAUGCGUAGAUAUCUGGAGGAACACCGGUGGCGAAGGCGACAUCCUGGACCGGUACUGACGCUGAGGAGCGAAAGCCAGGGGAGCAAACGGG